rnacentral:rRNA from 1 species
UUGGGCGAUUUUAAUGAAAUUUUAUACCCUUCAGAAAAAGAGGGCGGUAUGGCAAGACCACUUGGUAUGAUAAGAGAGUUCCGUGAAUGCCUAAUGGAUUGUGGGCUCAAUGACUUUGGCUAUACCGGUGACCUUUUCACUUGGAAGAGAGGUGAAAUACGUGAGCGUCUUGAUCGGGUGGUCUGUAAUAUAGCAUGGGCAAAUAAAUUUCCACAAGCGGCAGUGAUCAACGAAGAACAUGUUCAUUCUGACCAUCGCCCAAUCGUCCUGGACAUUGGUUAUUUGGAUGAAAAAAUCUUUAAAAGACCUGAGGGGCGUGUUAAACAAUUUGAGGUGAGGUGGUUGAAAGAAGAGACGGUCACUGAAAUUGUUAAAGCAUCUUGGGAGAAAGCAAAGCUUGCAGGUAUUGGACCUUCACUUGCUGAUCGUACGGGAUCGAGAAACUCUAAAGGGACCGAAGGUGAGAAUUAG